GACGAACGCUGGCGGCGUGCUUAACACAUGCAAGUCGAACGGAAAGGCCCUGCUUUUGUGGGGUGCUCGAGUGGCGAACGGGUGUGUAACACGUGAGUAACCUGCCCUUGACUUUGGGAUAACUUCAGGAAACUGGGGCUCAUACCGGAUAGGAUCUCCUGCUGCAUGGUGGGGGUUGGAAAAUUUCGGCGGUUGGGGCUGGACUCGCGGCUUAUCGGCUUGUUGGUGGGGUAGUGGCUUACCAAGGCUUUCAGGGGUACCCCGCCUGAGAGGGUGACCGGCGACCUUGGGACUGAGAGACGGCCCAAAUUCCUACGGGAGGCAACAGUGGGGAAGAUUGCACAAUGGGCGGAAGCCUGAUGCAGCAACGCCGCGUGCGGGAUGACGGCCUUCGGGUUGUAAACCACAUUCGCCUGUGACGAAGCGUGAGUGACGGUAAUGGGUAAAGAAGCACCGGCUAACUACGUG
rnacentral:rRNA from 1 species